ACCAGCAGACUCGCCACUCAUGAUGACUCGGCAUAGGAGGAUGAGAAGGUGGAGGAUGAGGAGGAGGAGGAAGAGGACUUUUCGUUCCUAACGCGGAAAUACUGCCUGAGCCUGGAACCCAAUGCAAGGGUGAUGCAUGGUCGGAGAAGCUGCAAUUUCAAUCGUUGACUCAUAUGUAGACUACAUGUUCCUGCUGAACAGGCCAGGUGGGUUGGCAAACGAGUCGAAAACACAAGAGGUCAACAUGAAGAUCAACCGGUUCCUGGCCCUGUCUGGCUACUUGGAAGGAGCGGUGUUGAGUGACGUGCUGUUGUGGAAGGGCCAUAUGGAGGUCCAGGACAGUUCUUCAACACCACUCACCAGCUGAAGACGGUGCAGACUGCACUAACGGCUAUUAAGAACUUCCUGAAGUGGUGCGAGGGAAUGGUCUAGCGGACGCCCGCGCAUUGAACAAUGCCGAUCUCCUUCUCACAGGCUGCCUGACCUCAACCCGCCUGGAUAUGAGCCGUCGCGAGGUUGUUCGGAGGGUAGAGGAGAGUGCGGCCAUCCUGACGGACGCAAACCUUGAGCGCCACUUCACUGAGAGUGAGCAUGUAGUGAAAACGAUCACUGUGAUCCAGGAGAC